rnacentral:rRNA from 1 species
UACGAAGGGGGGCUAGCGUUGCUCGGAAUGACUGGGCGUAAAGGGCGCGUAGGCGGUUUGGUUAGUUAGGCGUGAAAUUCCUGGGCUCAACCUGGGGGCUGCGCUUAAUACAGCCAGACUAGAGUGUGAAAGAGGGUCGUGGAAUUCCCAGUGUAGAGGUGAAAUUCGUAGAUAUUGGGAAGAACACCGGUGGCGAAGGCGGCGACCUGGUUCAUUACUGACGCUGAGGCGCGAAAGCGUGGGGAGCAAACAGG